AUUGAACGCUGGCGGCAUGCUUUACACAUGCAAGUCGAACGGUAACAGGCCUUCGGGUGCUGACGAGUGGCGAACGGGUGAGUAAUGCAUCGGAACGUGCCCAGAGGUGGGGGAUAACGCAGCGAAAGCUGUGCUAAUACCGCAUGUGAUCUGAGGAUGAAAGCGGGGAACCAAGCAGCAAUGUUUGGCCUCGCGCCUCUGGAGCGGCCGAUGUCAGAUUAGGUAGUUGGUGGGGUAAAGGCCUACCAAGCCGACGAUCUGUAGCUGGUCUGAGAGGACGACCAGCCACACUGGGACUGAGACACGGCCCAGACUCCUACGGGAGGCAGCAGUGGGGAAUUUUGGACAAUGGGCGCAAGCCUGAUCCAGCAAUGCCGCGUGCGGGAAGAAGGCCUUCGGGUUGUAAACCGCUUUUGUACGGAACGAAAAGGCUCUGGCUAAUACCUGGGGCUGAUGACGGUACCGUAAGAAUAAGCACCGGCUAACUACGUG
rnacentral:rRNA from 1 species